rnacentral:lncRNA from 1 species
GUUAUUAUCAAUAUUCCAAAGGCUUCAGCCAGUACUUCUCAGACUUUAACGCACAAACAAAUCACCGAGCGGCCAAAGUGAGUGAGGAACAGGAUUAGAGCUCACACUCAUCUGAGUUUACACCAUAAGGAGACACAUAGGCUCUGUGACCUGGAAGCCUCAGGGCAGGGCCUUGAUGUGGCCCUCAGACCCCUACUCCUCCAGGCAUUGGAUCCCUGCCUGUGUAAGGGGCAGGACGUGGGGUCCUCAACAUCACCAAAGCAUCUCCAGGCCUGCAGACUAAGCCUGAUCCCUCCUCUCCCAACACAUGUUUAAAAUCCAGUUUCUGAAAAAGGAGGAGUUACUGUUUAAUCAC